UCGAAGCUUUUAACACACACAGAAGAGCGAAAAGCUCAUACAUUCAAAUCCGACGGCAAUACUUCAAAGCCACGAGGAGAAUCCAGACGAGAUUCGAAGCCAUACAACACGAGUUCUGAACCGGAGAAGAAUCAUUCUAGUUUCCGUGAAGUUGGCGAAGAGGCUCGUUGCGCUGUUUCUUCCUCGAGAGGGAAGUGAUUUGGUGACCUAAAGCUUGGGUUUUUAAUAAUUGAUACUAAUAACGAAUCAGCAGGAUUGAAAUCUGAGGCCUUUUGUGUGAAGUGGCUUGUUGAUAUGAUCUCUAGGGUUUUGGUUCUUGAGGAGAUGAGAAUUGGCUUUGCAUUGUAUGGAUUUGGGAUUUGCCAAGGAAGAGCUUAAAUUCAAGGAUUUGGAUUUUUGUUUCCAAUUUUGCAUUUGUGUGAAGGACAAUAGAAGCUGAGAGAGUGCGUUUGUGUGCACUCACUCUGUUUCAUUUUGGUUUUUGGUGUAGAAGAAAAACUACUCUUUUAGAUACAGAAGUGAGAGUAAUCAUGCAACGUUCUCAAGAUCAGAGGGUUAAUCUUGGUGAACUGAAAGGUCAUAUAGUGAAGAAGAUUGGGGUUGAAAAAUCGAAAAGGUAUUUUUAUUACCUAGGCAGGUUUCUGAGUCAGAAGCUUACUAAGAGCGAGUUUGAUAAGACGUGUUUUAGGCUGUUAGGGAGGGAGAAUCUCUCUAUACACAACCAGUUGAUCCGUUCAAUCUUGAGAAACGCAACUGUCGCCAAGUCCCCGCCAAGUGUUCAAGAAACCGGUCAUCAGACCAAACCUUGGGUGAAUGCUUGUCAGAGUAAAGGAGAUGGUCCUGAAAAAAGUGGAUCUUUAGUCCCAAACCAUACUAAUCAGAAUGAUCCUGUUUGGUCCAACGGGGUUUUGCCCAUCUCUCCGCGGAAAGUCAGGUCUGGAAUGCGUGACAGGAAGAUCAGAGAUAGUCCACUAGGCUCAAAUGGGAAGGUUGAACACAUGUUGCAUCAGCCAAUAUGUAGAGAAGAUAAUAGAGGUAGUGUUGGUAUGGAAAACGGGGAUGUGAGUCAAUCUGAUGAUCAAAGAUCAGGCAGAUGUGCUCCUGAUGAAAGAGAUGGUGAAUUUCUUCGUCCUGUUAAAAAACCGAGAUUACCAAAUCAAGAUCAGGUUGCAACAGCGGCUACGAGAGAUGAUGAGAAUCAAGAGGAGCAGGCUAGGCUAGAACUAACAACGAGUCCUCUGGUUGCACCUCUAGGGAUACCAUUUUGUUCAGCUAGUGUCGGUGGGUCACGUAGAACGGUUCCGGUUUCAACCAGCUCUGACGUAGUUAGUUGCCAAGACAGUGUUGGAUUACCAGACACAGAGAUGCUAAAGAAAAGGAUGGAGAAUAUUGCAAUAGCACAGGGUCUUGGAGGGGUUUCGAUGGAGUGUGCUAAUACGUUGAAUAGCAUGUUGGAUGUGUAUCUAAAGAGGCUGAUCAAAUCUUGCGUUGAUUUGGUUGGAGCUCGAUCCACAAAUGGAGAUCCCGGGAAACAAACUUUAGACAAGCAGCAGAGUCAAAGCAAGAUGGUAAAUGGUGUUUGGCCUAGUAACAGUUUGAAAAUACAAACUCCGAAUGGACCUCCUGACAUAACACAAGAUCAUCAUUCCGUGUCUCUGCUUGAUUUUAGAACUGCCAUGGAGUUAAAUUCACAGCAGCUUGGCGAAAACUGGCCAACUCUCCGAGAGAGAAUUUCCAUGCGGUCUUUCGAGGAACAAGACUUCGAGGUGUGAAAGAAACCUUCUGAAUGCGUGUUGAUGUUACAUAUUGUCUGAUUCAGCCUGCUCUUGUCCAAAAGGGGACAAUCAAAUUUUGUAUGCCAAAAAGAUUUUUACUGUGUAGUUCCAAGAUGGAACGGAAAGAGAUGAAGUUAUGAGUUCUGAGCUGAGAAGCACAUCAUUAUGAUCCUGCAGCAUCAGACUCAGAGCAGGUUAGUAAAUUAUUUCAUAAUGCAACUAAACCCAAAGAACCGUAUAAAGAUACGUGUUGUUGGUUGUCAUGUUGUAAGAUUACAAGAAAUUGGCAAUUUCAAAGAGAUUCGAGCUUUGUGUGUAUACCCGAGGUCAAUAAGGGAAUUGGGGAGAGAGUUUUGCAGAGAUACUGUGCUAUUAUGUCGGUUCAAGGAGUCAUCUUCUGGCAAGUCUCACUCGUGGGAAGAUAACUUCACAGGAGUCAUCUUCUGUUUACAGAACUAAAACGGGAAGUCGGCGAAAACAGAGGAGAAAAAGAAAUCAGCAUUUCGCUUAUGAUGAAGAAGAAGAU